rnacentral:rRNA from 1 species
CCUACGGGUGGCAGCAGUGAGGAAUAUUGGUCAAUGGGCGGGAGCCUGAACCAGCCAAGUCGCGUGAGGGAAGAAGGUACUGAGUAUUGUAAACCUCUUUUGCCAGGGGACAAAGGCGGCCACGGGUGGCCGUAAGAGGGUACCUGGAGAAAAAGCAUCGGCUAACUCCGUGCCAGCAGCCGCGGUAAUACGGAGGAUGCGAGCGUUAUCCGGAUUUAUUGGGUUUAAAGGGAGCGUAGGCCGCAUGUCAAGCGUGCUGUGAAAUGUCCGGGCUCAACCCGGGCCUUGCAGCGCGAACUGGCGUGCUUGAGUCCGCGGAAAGCAGGCGGAAUUCGGCGUGUAGCGGUGAAAUGCUUAGAUAUGACGAAGAACCCCGAUUGCGAAGGCAGCUUGCUGCAGCGGAACUGACGCUGAUGCUCGAAAGCGCGGGUAUCGAACAGGAUUAGAUACCCCAGUAGUC